AUUCUAAUUAAAAUACUUGCAGCAUAAUUAAUUAAUUAUUGUUUGACUAAUUUUAAUUUAGUUUAACAUUAUUUGAUUAACUGUGAUGAAUUUAUC
rnacentral:miRNA from 1 species